rnacentral:lncRNA from 1 species
CAGGAAGUGUGUGCUGAGUCAACUAGGAAGUGGCAAGAGCUGGUGUCCUGCUUACACAGAGCUCUGUCUACCCAGAACUGGAUGUUCCUCCUGAAACAGGAUGGUAUGGCGGAGUCCCCUCCUGUUCCCCAGCUUUGGACAGGAAAGGUCUUGACUUAAAAAAGCAGCCUUGCAGUGACAGGAAGGCUGACCACAUUUGUAUUUCUCACAGAGGUUUGACAGUGUUAGACAGCUUCUCUAGAGACCCAAGGGAGGCCAGCUAGGUGUUCACCCCGGUGUUUUUCCUGAGAAUCCCUUUCCUAGACCACCUCUAAGCCAGCGAGUGAGACACUGGGCCAAAGGGCCAAAGCAGCUGCCUGGGAGGAGUCACCCAUGCGGUCUAUGGACACUGCCCCUCUUGUAACUUUCCAGUGCUCCGGGAUUCCGACUGGCAGCUCUGACGCCUGGUGGUCAUUUCAAGAACUGCACUCUGGAAGACUUGUCCAUUUUUAUUAUUUUUAGAUGCUUUAGCUUUCUUCUUCCAAUAAAUAUAAAUAAGAUGGACCUUAUACAUUAGCAGUCAUUACUGUUACUAAGUGAAUUAUUUAUAAGUAAAAUUCUUGCAAAUGCAAUCGACAAAAUAUAUGUUUGUAGAAGAUUCUGGAAAGAUAAACCAGAGACUCUUUGAUGAUCUCCAAGGGGCACUACUGUGGGAUGGAGAAAGAUUUAUUUUGCUUUAUAUAUGUGCUUCUCUCUGAAAUAUAUUUUAACUUAUUUUUCAGUUUUCUUAGUGCUUGGCACGGUGGCACAGCCCUUUAAUCCCAGCACUGUGGAGGCAGGUGGCUUUCUACAAGUUCAAGUCCACCCUGGUCUACAAACCUGGAAACAGUGUGGCUUUGUGUGCUCACAGCCUACUUGCUGCACAUGUUCAGAGAGGGUGAGGCAUGUGAGGCCGAGGAUCAGUGCAGGCUCCCAGCGCCAGUUCUCACCGCCAUCCUGAAGGCUGGGCCACAGCAAGGCAGAGAUGCUGACUCUGCAGCAGCUAGCUCUUCAGGGAAGGAAAAACCUUAGAAAAGCAUCCAAAGACGAGGUCCUCAUCCCGGAACUGUGCUGUUUCAGAUCCUGCCUGCGUCUGAGCCUGCAAUCAGCAAGCCUGGUGGCUAGGUCUCUGCUCCCUCCUUACUUGCAGCCUCCCUGGGUCUCCCUGGGAGAUCAGGCACCUCCCUUAGCCAGCCCCCUCCCAGCUUCCUACUGCCACUCGGAACAGAACUUCCGCAGCUAUCAUGUGACCUUGAAGAUGGAAGUCACAUGCCAGAGAAGACAGAAGACAGAGACCCUGAUAACUUCAAAGAGCCAGCCAAAUAAUGCCUGUUUACUCCUGAUCCUGGUAAAAGUGAAGAGAGUAAAUCCUUGCAAAUAAACAACUAGAUUUUCUCCCUAUUGCAUGCAGUUGAACCUGAUUACAGCAGACAAUGCGGUAGCCGAGUGUUUCUCUGUUCUCCUCUACACUUGCAAAGGAGCAGAAAUAAUGACUUAUGACUGAAGUAUCUGCUGGAGCCUCCCUCUGGUGGAGCUCAGCCACGCACUGUAAAAUCUGUGUGUGCUAGCUUUCUUACAGUUACUGACUUUGAAGUCUUUUUUUAGGAGGGGAGUGGGGUGAAGCUGGACUUUCAGUGACUGUUUAACCAUGGGGACAGGAUGAAGAGGGUAGC